CUCCCAUAGACGCUACACAAUGCAAUAAAUCAGUGUAUGUGUGUGUGUAAUGUUUUCUUUCUGGUGGUACAACUCGGUUGUUUUUUCCAGUCUCUGUUGGAGCUUCUUGUACUGGUUUCUUCAGGUACGGUAUUACCGCGGCUUCCUUUAGAGCCGGGCCUGUGACGCUGCUCACUCUGAGAAUCGAGAAGAUCGGAUUAAAAGACGCAGGGCAGUGCAUCGAACCGUACGUGACCAUCAGCGUCCGAGACUUGGACAGAGUGGAUUUGAACCCUGUUCAGGACACUACAGUGUCGACACGUAAAGAGGACACGUACAUUCAUUUCGACGUCGACGUGGAGAUCCAGAAACAUCUCAAGAAGCUACCAAAAGGACAAUAUAUAUACAGUGGGUACGGAAAGUAUUCAGACCCCCUUAAAUUUUUCAAUCUUUGUUAUAUUGAGCCAUUUGAUCAAAUUUUUUAAGUUCAUUUCUUUUCCUCAUUAAUGUACACUUAGCACCCCAUAUCGACAGAAAAACACAGAAUUGAUGACA